rnacentral:misc_RNA from 1 species
AACAUCGCGCACCUGCGGGAACCUGCGGAAGGAUCAUUAAUGAUUGGUGGCUGUUGCUGACUAGUGUUUCUAGUAUGUGCACGCCACACCUUCAAUCCCACUUACACCUGUGCGCCUUCUGUAAUAGAUCUAUGUGGAUACGGAGAUAUGAAAGUUUGCGCUCUCGUACUCUGUUGAAGCAGUCUACUACGUUUUUUUACACACACACAAUAGUCAUUGAAUGUAUUUUUUAUUCUUAUG